GUCCGUGCUUUCCGUCCACUUCGCCUUGGCGGCGCUGAGGAAGGCCGCGUUCGACGUCGCGUGCGUCCCGGGAUACGCGUUUUUCAACUCGAGGUUGCUGAUCACGGUCAAUUGAUCCGCCACCGGGGCCAGCGACUGGAGUGUGGGAGAAAACUCGGUCAGCCUGCCUUCGCCUGGCGGCGU
rnacentral:misc_RNA from 1 species